GUGCUUGCUUUAGCAGCACAUAUACUAAAAUUGGAAUGAUAUAGAGAAGAUUAGCAUGGCCCCUGUGUAAGUGUGCUUUUUUCUAAAUGGAACAUCAAACAAGUUGA
ensembl:snRNA U6 U6 spliceosomal RNA